AAAGGCCUAGUGGUAGUUGGGCCUCCCUUUUCUGCUUUUUCUAACUGAACUAGAGAUUCUUCUAAAAUAGGGCCGGUUCAUUCAAGACCAUGGUUUAAGACCCUCUUUCUGAUUUCUCAAAUCUCGAUCUCAUACCUCUCUCUCUCUCUCUCUCUCUCUCUUUCUCACGCACACGCACAUCCAAUCUCGAACCUUAACACCACCACUCCCAUGGGUUCCAGGAGGAACGACAACCCACACUAUGGCGAUGGUGCCAGUCCUGGUAAAAUCUUCAUUGGAGGCUUUGCCAAGGACACCACCUACGAAACCUUUGUGAGUUACUUUUAGAAGUAUGGAAAGAUAACAGAUUCUGUUAUCAUGAAAGACCGGCACACACAUCGACCAAGGGGAUUCGGUUUCAUAACUUAUGAGGAUCCUUCUGUUGUUGACCAGAUGAUCCAAGAGACCCAUGUCAUCAAUGGCAAGCAGAAAUAACUCCACUAUGGGGAGAGGUGUUGUCAGGAAAUGGCAAAGAAAGUAGCCUAAUGAGUAAUGAGGCUUUUGGCGGCAGUGAUGCCUGAAAUGCUUCUUACAAGUUAUACAUUUCAUGCAGAUCUUAACUACAGUCAAUGCACAUUUGUUCCUAUUUCUUAUUCUCAUUUCUUUUUCUGAAGUAAUGAAAAACUCUGAGAAAUGGGACACAAGAAUUGCAAAUUCUGGGCCAGCUUUCAAGAUUAUCUUGUGCAUAAUCCUAACAAGUUAUGAGGCUGAUAUAAUACUGGCCAAAAUUGUGUGCAAUGGCAUCUUCCCUAUGCUGCGAUUCUAUAUUUUAAAUAUCGUAAGCAUUAGAAAGUA